rnacentral:rRNA from 1 species
AAAAAUUCCUGUACCGGAUGGAGUCAAUUGAGCGAAGGAGCGACGCAGGAGGGCACAUGAUCGCGCGGCUGGAAGAGCGCGUCCAAGUGCGUAUGCGUAGAGGGAGGCAAAUCCCCCUUUACAGAAGCAGAGACAUGAUGGGGAGUUAAAGGAGACUUUGACGAACUCAUGGAUCCCACACUGCCAAGAAAAACUUCUAGCGAGACGAAAUCCGCCCGUACCGUAAACCGACACAGGUAGGCGGGGAGAGAAUCCUAAGGUGCGCGGGAAAACCCUCGUUAAGGAACUCGGCAAAUUGCAUCCGUAACUUCGGGAGAAGGAUGACCCUGAGUAGACGAAAGGGAGAAACCCCCGGAACAGAAAAGGGUGGCAGAAAAGAGGCCCAAGCAACUGUUUACCAAAAACACAGGUGCCUGCGAAAGCGAAAGCUGAAGUAUAGGUGCUGACGCCUGCCCGGUGCUGGAAGGUUAAGGAGAGAGGUCAGCGAAAGCGAAGCUUUGAACUGAAGCCCCAGUGAACGGCGGCCGUAACAAUAACGGUCCUAAGGUAGCGAAAUUCCUUGUCGGGUAAGUUCCGACCCGCAUGAAAGGCGUAAUGAUUUGGGCACUGUCUCAACGAGGGGCCCGGUGAAAUUGAAAUACCUGUGAAGAUGCAGGUUACCCGCGACUGGACAGAAAGACCCCAUGGAGCUUCACUGCAGCUUGAGAUUGAAUCCCGGUGACAUAUGCACAGGAUAGGUGGGAGGCUAAGAAGUAAUGCCUUUGGGUGUUACAGAGCCGAUGUUGGGAUACCACCCUUAUGUUGCUGAGAUUCUAACACGGAGACUAACAACCUCGUGGACCAUCUCAGGCAGGCGGUUUGACUGGGGCGGUCGCCUCCUAAAAUGUAACGGAGGCGCCCAAAGGUUCCCUCAGGCCGGACAGAAACCGGCCGAAGAGUGCAAAGGCAGAAGGGAGCUUGACUGCGAGACAGACAAGUCGAGCAGGGACGAAAGUCGGGCUUAGUGAUCCGGUGGUACUGAGUGGAAAGGCCAUCGCUCAACGGAUAAAAGCUACCCUGGGGAUAACAGGCUAAUCUCUCCCAAGAGUUCAUAUCGACGGGGAGGUUUGGCACCUCGAUGUCGGCUCAUCACAUCCUGGAGCUGGAGUAGGUUCCAAGGGUUGGGCUGUUCGCCCAUUAAAGUGGUACGCGAGCUGGGUUCAAAACGUCGUGAGACAGUUUGGUUCAUAUCCAUCGCGGGCGCAAGAAGUUUGAGGGAGGCUGCUCCUAGUACGAGAGGACCGGAGUGGACGGAUCAACGGUGUACCAGUUGUCACGCCAGUGGCACGGCUGGAAAGCCGCAUCCGGAAAGGAUAAACGCUGAAAGCAUCUAAGCGUGAAGCCCGUCCCGAGAUGAGACUUCUCAUCAGCAAUGAGUAAGACCCCUUAAAGACGAUGAGGUUGAUAGGCUGUGAGUGGAAGUGGCGCAAGUCAUGGAGCGACGCAGUACUAAUAGGUCGAGGUCUUAGCU